UCCCACUCCUUGCUCAGCUCGACCGACUUCGACGGAAUUACUCACCGAGCCCCAAACUCCGAUCAAGCACCUUUCUGAGCCGGCGGGCUAUGGAGGAUGCUGCGACCGGACGCGGAGGUCCCCAACACCUCUCUACCAGCGCAACACCACUGAGUUAGGGGUUUCUACGGUGACACGAAGAAGAGAAAGACAAGUACUCUCCAUUAUGGGGUAUGAGAUCACUGAGGUGAGAGAGACACCUCCCAGGAUAUGAUGGAGGGCAUAUGGACAGAGUAGACAAGAAGGCGGAAUGGAUUCAUGACACACUGUUCGGAGGUCUUAGGAGUGCUGUGAAGACUUGUUUUCUCAUGUGUCUUCCUUUAUUGUAUGAGGAGAUAUACUAAUGGUUCCCCCACCCUUUUAUUAACUUCUUGAUUGCGAUGUUACUGUUACAUUGGGUAUGGUGGUUUAUUUUGAUAGGAUUUCUGUUUCUUUCA